rnacentral:rRNA from 2 species
GCGACCCCAGGAUGGGCGG